CCUACGGGCGGCAGCAGUGAGGAAUAUUGGUCAAUGGUCGGGAGACUGAACCAGCCAAGCCGCGUGAGGGAGGAAGGUACAGAGUAUCGUAAACCUCUUUUGUCAGGGAACAAAGGCGGGGACGUGUCCCCGGAUGCGUGUACCUGAAGAAAAAGCAUCGGCUAACUCCGUGCCAGCAGCCGCGGUAAUACGGAGGAUGCGAGCGUUAUCCGGAUUUAUUGGGUUUAAAGGGUGCGCAGGCGGUCUGUUAAGUCAGCGGUCAAAGCCCGGGGCUCAACCCCGGCAAGCCGUUGAAACUGGCUUGCUAGAGUGGGCGAGAAGUAUGCGGAAUGCGUGGUGUAGCGGUGAAAUGCAUAGAUAUCACGCAGAACGCCGAUUGCGAAGGCAGCAUACCGGCGCCCAACUGACGCUCAGGCACGAAAGCGUGGGUAUCGAACAGGAUUAGAUACCCCAGUAGUC
rnacentral:rRNA from 1 species